rnacentral:rRNA from 1 species
UACAGAGGUCUCAAGCGUUGUUCGGAUUCAUUGGGCGUAAAGGGUGCGUAGGCGGCGCGGUAAGUCGGGUGUGAAAGUCUCGGAGCUUAACUCCGAAACUGCAUUCGAUACUGCCGUGCUUGAGGACUGGAGAGGAGACUGGAAUUUACGGUGUAGCGGUGAAAUGCGUAGAUAAUCGUAAGGAAGACCAGUGGCGAAGGCGGGUCUCUGGACAGUUCCUGACGCUGAGGCACGAAGGCCAGGGGAGCAAACGGG